GCCCGGGUAGCUCAAUCGGUAGAGCGUGUGGCUCUUAAUAGAGUUGAAACUCAUUCAAACCUCAAGGUCGUGGGUUCGAGCCCCACCUCGGGCU
rnacentral:tRNA from 1 species